AACGAACGCUGGCGGCAGGCUUAACACAUGCAAGUCGAACGACCCGCAAGGGGAGUGGCAGACGGGUGAGUAACGCGUGGGAAUCUACCUAGUUCUACGGAACAACUGAGGGAAACUUCAGCUAAUACCGUAUACGCCCUACGGGGGAAAGAUUUAUCGGAAUUAGAUGAGCCCGCGUAAGAUUAGCUAGUUGGUGGGGUAAUGGCCUACCAAGGCGACGAUCUUUAGCUGGUCUGAGAGGAUGAUCAGCCACACUGGGACUGAGACACGGCCCAGACUCCUACGGGAGGCAGCAGUGGGGAAUAUUGGACAAUGGGCGCAAGCCUGAUCCAGCCAUGCCGCGUGAGUGAUGAAGGCCUUAGGGUUGUAAAGCUCUUUCAGUGGGGAAGAUAAUGACGGUACCCACAGAAGAAGCCCCGGCUAACUUCGUGCCAGCCGCCGCGGUAAGAC
rnacentral:rRNA from 1 species